AUUGAACGCUGGCGGCAGGCCUUACACAUGCAAGUCGAGCGAGUGGCGGACUGGUGAGUAAUGUCUGGGAAACUGCCUGCUGGAGGGGGAUAACUCCUGGAAACGGUCUCUAAUACAGCAUACCAUCGGAUGUGCCCAGAUGGGAUUAGCUAGUCGGUGGGGUAAAGGCUCACCUGGGCGACGAUCCCUAGCUGGUUUGAGAGGAUGACCAGCCACACUGGAACUGAGACACGGUCCAGACGCCUACGGGAGGCAGCAGUGGGGAAUAUUGGACAAGGGGCGAAAGCCUGAUCCAGCCAUACCGCGUGGGGGAAGAAGGCCUUCGGGUUGUAAAGCCCUUUUGUUAGGAAAGCGGUACCCAAAGAAUAAGCACCGGCUAACUCCGUGCCAGCAGCCGCGGUAAUAC
rnacentral:rRNA from 1 species